UACGGAGGGUGCAAACGUUGCUCGGAAUCAUUGGGCGUAAAGCGCACGUAGGCGGACUGUUAAGUCGGAUGUGAAAUCCCUCAGCUUAACUGAGGAAGUGCAUUCGAAACUGGCAGUCUUGAGUAUGGAAGAGGGUCGCGGAAUUCCUGGUGUAGCGGUGAAAUGCGCAGAUAUCAGGAGGAACACCAGCGGCGAAGGCGGCGCUCUGGGCCGGAACUGACGCUGAGGAGCGAAAGCGUGGGUAGCAAACAGG
rnacentral:rRNA from 1 species